GACGAACGCUGGCGGCGUGCUUAACACAUGCAAGUCGAACGGAAAGGCCCUGCUUUUGUGGGGUGCUCGAGUGGCGAACGGGUGAGUAACACGUGAGUAACCUGCCCUUGACUUUGGGAUAACUUCAGGAAACUGGGGCUAAUACCGGAUAGGAGCUCCUGCUGCAUGGUGGGGGUUGGAAAGUUUCGGCGGUUGGGGAUGGACUCGCGGCUUAUCAGCUUGUUGGUGGGGUAGUGGCUUACCAAGGCUUUGACGGGUAGCCGGCCUGAGAGGGUGACCGGCCACAUUGGGACUGAGAUACGGACCAGAAUCCUACGGGAGGCAGCAGGGGGGAAUAUUGCACAAUGGGAGGAAGCCUGAGGCAGAAACGCCGCGGGCGGGAUGAAGGCCUUCGGGGUGUAAACCGCUUUAGCCUGUGAAGAAGCGGGAGUGACGGUAAUGGGUAAAGAAGCACCGGCUAACUACGUG
rnacentral:rRNA from 1 species